ACACACAGCUAGCUCUUCAGGCCAGGCCCCCAGGGUUUCGUCCACCUCUCACCUUUGACGACGCGAAUGAAGAAUGAGGAGGUGCUGCGAUCGAACGACUGCGAGGAAACACACCCGCUCUCAUGGCAUUCCCAGUAAACUGAGAAGACGUGAUUAAACCUCAGGAUCUCCUACUAAUAGAGAAAUGUAUAACGAUUUAGCUACCAGAUCUGAAUACUGAAGGGUUGGUAGGGGACCAGAGAAUAGAGGAAGCAUUGUAGGUUCUAGAGUGGAGAAGGGACCAUCCAAAAUGGAGUUUGAAAGAGAAUUCUGGCCUUUGUGUUUAGAGUCUGGAAUUGUCAAGAGUCUGAAAGCACAGAAUAAGACUGCAGCUAGAGCAAUUUAGGCGCCAUAGUUUGUCAAAACAGGUAAGGGGAAUAAAGGGGAUGACACCAAGAGAUGUGCAAAGAAUCUGAAGAAUUCACCUGAAAAGGAUACAACCUCCUCCUGGAAGGCAGAGGAGUAAAUAGGGAAUUGGAAAUUAAUUCCUUAUUUCUGCACAUGCACAGAAUCUGGGCCCAGGUGACUUAUGGAACCUUUAUAGAGACCACGGUGACUGACACUCAUGGGAAAGGGGGUAGAGGGGCAAGAACUGACUGUUCAUCAAAAAUUAUUAGAUGAGUGUGUCCACGACACCAGGAGAUAUGUUGAAUCAUGGACAGGGACCAGCAUAUCCACUAAGCUCUAUAUAUCUUGAUGGUGCAGGAUCCAAGUGGGAUGGAACAACCAAUUCCUGCCCAUCCUCCUGCUCAAUAAUACAUGUGCUCAGAAUCUGUUCAUAAUGCAUGGUGAGACGGGAUCUCACUGUGUUGCCCAGGCUGGUCUCGAACUGCUGGACUCAAGUCAUCCUCCCAUCUUGGCCUCCCAAAGUGCUGGAAUUACAGGUGUGAGACGCUGUGCCU
rnacentral:lncRNA from 10 species